GCCGCUUUAGCUUAGUGGUAGAGCAUCGCACUUGUAAUGCGAAGGUCGCUGGUUCGAUCCCGGCACGCGGUA
rnacentral:tRNA from 1 species